rnacentral:lncRNA from 1 species
UCGAUGAUAUUAUCUCUAAUUGCUAACGUUAUAUUAAAUUCGUUAAGAGGGAGAUUCUAUUGAUAAUUUCUACGAUUCUAUUGAUAUACAAACAUGCAAUCAACAUUUUAUUAUUAAUCAUGAGUUAAAUGAAUAUGAACUGACUAAUCAUUAAAACUUUAAAUUUUUCUCAUUUUUUUCCUCACACUUUUUCUUUUUAUUUUAAAUUUUUUCUCCCUAUUUAUUUAUUAUCAUUAAAAAUACUAAUAAUCUAUUUUUAUAAUUUUAAUAAAAUUAACAAUUUAUUUUAUCUCAUAGGUUACUAUCAACACAAUAUUUAUUUUAUUUUAAUAAAUUAUUAUUUUAAUUUGAGAGACAAAAAAUUUAUUUCCAAAAAAACAUCAAUAUUUUGUAAAAUAUUUAUCAACAAAAAUAUUAAUAUAUUUUCUUUCUCU